GUGCUCACUUCGGCAGCACAUAUACUAAAAUUGGGAAUGAUGCAGAGAAGAUUAGUAUGGCCCCUGUGUAAGGAUGCCACACAAAUUCGUGAAGCAUUCCAUAUUUUU
rfam:Canis lupus familiaris chromosome 22, whole genome shotgun sequence.